CCUACGGGCGGCAGCAGUAGGGAAUCUUUCACAAUGGGCGAAAGCCUGAUGGAGCAACGCCGCGUGCAGGAUGAAGGCCUUCGGGUUGUAAACUGCUUUUAUAAGCGAGAAAUAUGAUGGUAACUUAUGAAUAAGGAUCGGCUAACUACGUGCCAGCAGCCGCGGUCAUACGUAGGAUCCGAGCAUUAUCCGGAGUGACUGGGUGUAAAGAGUUGCGUAGGUGGCAUAAUAAGUAGCUAGUGAAAUCUGGUGGCUCAACCAUUCAGACUAUUAGCUAAAAUGUUAAGCUCGAGACCGUUAGGGGUAACUGGAAUUUCUAGUGUAGGAGUGAAAUCCGUAGAUAUUAGAAGGAACACCAAUAGCGUAGGCAGGUUGCUGGGACGGUUCUGACACUAAGGCACGAAAGCGUAGGGAGCAAACGGGAUUAGAUACCCCAGUAGUC
rnacentral:rRNA from 1 species